UAAUCCACAAAUAGUAGACUUUUAUGUGUAAUCUGUAAUAAUCCUAAUAAGUUGCACAGUUGUAAAUAUCUUAGUGUAUUAGAUAUUAGAGAAAUACAUGUAAGUAGAAUAAAAAUUGAUUCAAAAAAAUUCAAGAAAUCAGUACCUGUGCUUUUCAUUGUAAGCAAGUGAAAAAAUAAUAAUACAAUAAAAACCGGAACUAAUAGAAAAAUUUUCACAACAGAAAUGGAAUGCCAGCAGUGUUUUAAAAGAUUUCCAAACGAAAGACUCAUGAAACAACAUUAUGUCAAACACCUCUUCUGUGAUUACUGUGGAAAAAUGUUUCCUUCCUUUGCACAGAAACAAGAACACGAGUUAUUGCUCCACACUAGCCAAUGUCCACAUUGUGAAAAGAUUGUCAGAAAAUCAAAUUUGAAUGAACAUUGUGAAAAAAGCCACCAUUUUAAGUGUUGUAAAUGUGAUAGAUGGUUUACGAAAAAAGAGGAAUGUGACAAUCAUCAAAGGUUACAGCAUAUACUAUGAAAACUCAUUUAAAUCUUCUUAAGGGCAUAGGCGCAAAAUAUCGCCUGUCAAAAUAUUCAAUAUGUUUUAAAUGUACUCAUUUUUUUCGAAUCCUGAGAAAACUAAUAAAUAUUUUUGAAAAUUUAAACGCAGAAUGAAAGAUUACUUUAUUACUGAGGGCCGAAAGUCCCUGAAAACUUCUAUAUUGUUUAUUUUAAUAAGUUACAGGGGUGAAAAUAAAGGAGAAAAUUUAUUGUGAUUUUUAAUUGCAAAUACAAGAAUAUUCAGUGAAUAGGCACGAUUUGGCAACGCUCGUUAAUAGUGUAAUCUUUCAUUCUGGGUUUAAAUUUUUUCAAAAAUAUUUAUUAGUUGUCUCAGGAUUUAAAAAAAUGAAUACAUUUAAAACACUGAAAAUUUUGACAGACGACAUUUAUCGCCUUUCCCCUUAACAGUGAUAUUCUAUGGACAUUUCAAGAAUAAUCAAAAUUUAAGGGUUUUUCAUAGCUACAGAUGUACAGGGAAAAACCAUAGUAAAAAAUUUGCUUCUUAAAGAAAAACAAAUUGUGAUUAGAACUAAAUUAGAUUAUUAAUAAUUAAAAACAUAUACUUAGUAA